rnacentral:ncRNA from 1 species
CCCCGGGGAGCCAGUGGCCUGGGCAACGCGCCUGCGUUGCCGGGUUGAGCAAAGGCUGAGAGGGGCUGGUCACGCAGCCCGACCCGUCGAACCUGAACCCGUUAGCACGGGCGGAGGGAGGG